AUUUUGAACCGCAUGGUUCAGAAAGUGAAAGACGGGUCUUGCUGUCACUUAUAGAUGGGAUCCGCGCUGCACUAAGCUAGAUUGGUAAGGUAACGGCUUACCAAGGCAACGAUGCAUAGCCGACCUGAGAGGGUGAUCGGCCACACUGGAACUGAGACACGGUCCAGACUCCUACGGGAGGCAGCAGUAGGGAAUCUUCCGCAAUGGGCGAAAGCCUGACGGAGCAACGCCGCGUGAGUGAUGAAGGUCUUCGGAUCGUAAAACUCUGCUAUUAGGGAAGAACAUAUGUGUAAGUAACUGUGCACAUCUUGACGGUACCUAAUCAGAAAGCCACGGCUAACUACGUGCCAGCAGCCGCGGUAAUACGUAGGUGGCAAGCGUUAUCCGGAAUUAUUGGGCGUAAAGCGCGCGUAGGCGGUUUUUUAAGUCUGAUGUGAAAGCCCACGGCUCAACCGUGGAGGGUCAUUGGAAACUGGAAAACUUGAGUGCAGAAGAGGAAAGUGGAAUUCCAUGUGUAGCGGUGAAAUGCGCAGAGAUAUGGAGGAACACCAGUGGCGAAGGCGACUUUCUGGUCUGUAACUGACGCUGAUGUGCGAAAGCGUGGGGAUCAAACAGGAUUA
rnacentral:rRNA from 1 species